rnacentral:rRNA from 1 species
GAUCAGGUAGAUAGGUUAGAAGUGGAAGUGUGGCGACACAUGUAGCGGACUAAUACUAAUAGCUCGAGGACUUAUCCAAA